UGAGAAGCCCGUUGCAGAUCUGAACCUGACCUGAGGCAAGGCUGUGCCAGCCAACUCAAACAUCUGAAACCAAAAAAGAAAUAUUAAGAGAUUCCAUGUCUAGAACGCAGUGCCUGGCACAUAAGUAGACGCUCAGUGACUACUUGUUGAAUGAACGACGAAACAAGUGAAUGGACGAAAGCGUGUGGAAUGUUUCAGAUACAGCAGAGAAGGAACAGCGCCACAGAGGUUAAGGAAAGAUGUUUUCCUCCUCUUGCAUUGUAUACGCUGAAAAACGUUGAUAAAACUUUUUAAAUGGAAGGAAAAUUGCAAAAGACUGAAAAAUCUAAGGAUCAAGAAUAAAAAGUGUCCAGUUACUAACAGC